AGUUUGCCGUUUUGUAUUCAUUAAACAAGUUUUAUGAUUAGGUUUUCAGAGUUCUUCUUCUUCGACCCUCACAAUCCCUGCUUCUUUUCCUAAGCCUGUAAAAAGAUGAGUCUCUAUCAACUCUUUACCUCCCGUCUUUUCAUAUCUAUCAAUUCUUUUAAUUGUGUUCAACGUAUACCUCUUAAAGUUUACAAUAAAUAUUUUUUUUCAUUAAAUUCAAUUACAAUCUUAAACUCUCCAUCUCCCUUCGGAUACAAUGAAACGGAAAAUUUACUUCAACCUCUAUAAAUUGGGAGAGGGUUGAUAGCAGGAUGGAUCUUCACAGGCGCUAUCAGCUUAUUUUCUAUCUUCAAUUGGAGAUGGAGCUGCUCAUCCUCGACGAACAGCGCCUACCUCAAAACACAACACUAGAUGAUGAGUAAACCGGCGCCCAGGAGACCUCCGCAAUGUGAUGUAGAUGAUCGGAGGACACUGAAGAAGAAGAAGAAGAAGCCUGCAAAAAUGUCAGAGGAUGCUAAAGCAUUGAGCAUGAUUUGACAAAUGUUCAAGUACUGCUUCAUUAGUGUUUCUCCUGCCACUCAUGAGUUUUGUAUUGUUUUAAUCUCAGUACUGAUCUUUAUGCUGGACGUGACUAUGAUGACCGAGACAUGGAAGCGGGAUUUGACGAUAUCAUGAAGGAAGAGAGUCGAAGUGCGAGAAUCGCCAAAGGAGGAAGAUGAAAUGGAAGCAAAGCUGAUCGCAGAAGAAGAAGAGCGAGAGUGACAGAGAAAGUUGUGGAGGCUGAGGCGUUAAGAAAAAAAGUUAGAAGAAACCUUUUGAUCUUUGUCUUCUUUUUAUAUAUAUGACUUAGAGUUUAAUCUUUAGUGCUUCUCUCGCUCAAAUCUCUUUGACCGCUUGAGGCACAAGAGAUUUUUAACUUUCUUUUUUCAAAUUAAGAAUCUUUUGUUCUUGAAACUCUACAAUUAGGUUAUAGAUUGGUUGAGUCACUUGAGGAAUCUGUUGAUGAACUUCCAAAGUUGGUGAAAGCUUGAUUCUUUUUCUUUGUAUAAAACCACAGAAUGAUAAAAGAGUAAAAGAAUAUAUCUUUAUUAA